UGUGCAUUGUUUAUUGCACUUCUUACAUUGACACUGCAUGACAUAAAUUUGUUCCUGGAUAUGCAAACCCUGCUGUAGUUGUACUUGUUUUAGAUCUAGGGAAUGCAUAUAUUGGAGGGAAAGAUUUACAUGGCAGGCAUGUCUUUGAAUCACAGAGCACUCCCAUAUUAAUAGUUCCAGGUUUUAAUAUUGUUGUGACACUGUGCUGAAAAAUAGAUGUAUACAUCCUCACAAACACCGAUACGUGAAAAUUUUCCUCUAAGCUGAGGAAAGAGGCCUAUUUAUUUUUGCUCUAUGUUCAUGCCUUUCAGCAUCACAAGUGGCAAUGCUGGCCACAACUGAUGGCACAGAGUUCAUGGCUAACAAGCAAGAAAGAAAAUCGGUGUUUUCACAGCCUUGUAAUGCCCUAUUUAUUUAUGUAAUAGAUUGAAUGUCAUGUAAAGUUUGAAACUACGCUUAGCUUUUCUCAGCUCCGUGAUCUGUCUCGCAGCUGCAGUAUACGGUUCUCUCAGCUGCUAUUGCUGCCUCUUUAAUCUGUGCUUUGAUUUUGGAGGCAUUUCUUAUCUGCUGGUUGUGGUCUGUUUGACACGUCCAGCUAUGAAAGGAAACGCAGACUGUUGAGAACACGUGUGAUAAUACUUCUGCCCCAGUAUAAAGGAACUUCAUGUUUCUUGGAAAUGUGGGCAAAGCUGCAUAUCUUAAAAAAUUCUUGUAAGCACCAAGUUAUUAAAUGCCAGUGUCACCCUGAUGCAUUUUGCACUUGAUUUUCAGUGGUUAUGGGCUGGUGUAUCUCUCUUGGUAUCAGUGGAGCUGUAUGUGUUGUCAGAGAAAACUCCAGAGCUGUGUAGUUUCUGCAGCUUUGCAAUGACCUGGUUUUACUAAACUUGCUUGUGAUGGUUAAUGUUUUCACCUGUAUGUCUGCAUCACAAAGGCUGAGCUCCAGUUCCCUAAAUCUCAGAUUGACUGUUGAAGCAAACCCCUGGAGCCAGAAGCUGCAUUUUAUGAUAGAUCCAGAUGCCAGAGCAUGGGUUGCAGCUACCUGCCUGCAGGCAAUGGACAGACUGCCCCUGUGGCUGAAUUGGGGUGGGUUGCAGGGUGUGCCAUGCUGUGAGUAAUCUAAAGUUCGCAGCACCAUAGCCGUUGGUGCUGUUCAUCGUGAGGAACAAUGUUGGCCUCAUGACAUGGCCCUGGCGCUGAAGCUGUGUGUAACUGCGUAGGAAGCUCAUCUGUUGUGAGGCACAGUCUCUCCUUCUCUGCAGCAGCCCUCCAUCUUCAGUGCUGAAUCUGUUUUAUCUAGGCUCGUGUUUCUUUAGUUUAUAAGUUUAUUUUUUGGCCGUGCAAGUUAUAAUUAAAUUGAUGUUCAUAAGCAAGCUUAAAAUUUGAUUUCUUUGGUUUACUUCUAGCUGCAUUCAGGAAGCCAACUACCAAAGCCUGCUCUGCCUACCAUUUUGUCUUCUGACCUGAAAAAGCUGGUGCAAAAGAAUAUAAGCUGCUUCUGCUUUGCCUCCUGCUUUCCUGUGGUCUCAAUGACAGAAGCCUGCUCCUUCAGUGGCAUAAGGCUACGGAAGGCGACCUUCUCUUCAAGCACUGAAAUUUGACAUCAGCAGACAAGUAGACGAGGAGGAUUUCCCUUCUGGAGAGCCCUAAUCCAGCUUUUCCUUCCAUUGGCUCCAAUGCUCAUCAUCAAUUUGUCCUUUUGUUUCCCUCUUCUGCAUAGAAAACAAUCCAAGUAUGGCAGAUAUGAAAAAAACCUGUAUCCAUUAACCUGCAUCCUGUGAGAAAUUAAUAGGAAUUUAUAGCAGAGCCUUUUAUUUUAUGAGAGAGUUAUACAGCAAACUGGAGAGCUUCUGGAAGAGUACAAGCAAACAUCAGGAAAUAAACCUAGGAGAUGUUAGGAGUGGAGCAGGAGAAAGCUGCUCAUGAUCUGAGAGACACACGGUAAGAAUGGGACUCUGGCAGGUUUGUGCCGGCAUCAGAGCAGAACCUGGCCUCUGCUGUGCAGUGUGGCAGAAAGGCACCACUAAAAAAAGAAGUUGAGGAAAGCCAGAAAGAACAAGCUGUUUCUUAACAGAUAUGUGAGAAUGGAGCAACUCCCAUGGGAAGCAAAGCAUGAAGGAAAAGUGGCCCAGCCAGUAUGGCUGCCUUGUGUCUUAAUAUAGCAGACUUCUUGGCAAAGCAAGGAGGUGAGGCCCGGUGGAGGAGGAGAGCUGGAUUUGCUCUCCCCAAAACCUGUUUGCAAUAGCAAAGAAAUCCCGCUGGCUCUGUUUCAGCAAACCAUUAGGAUUCAAUGAUCUGGCAGUGAAAUCCAGGUGCUGGAGGUGCAAUCCUCAGUACUGCUAGGAGAUCCUGCCUGCCCCUUGUCUGCAGGUGGUCCCUACUCAGUGGGGAAUUAGCUAAAUGUCUGGACAAGAUGAGACCCCAUCCUGCUGUUAGCAGCAUCUGUCCGUUCCCUCCCUAAUCUUCCUCCCCUCAAGCCUUUUUGGAAACAAGUAGGCAUGGAAAAUGUGUGGUGUUGUGAGAGCAUACACUAAUGAGCGGGAUUCAGCCCAGAAUUAUUUUCUGCGUUAUGUGCUGCAGACCUUGGAAAGGGCUGCUUGCAGCAUGGGAUUCUGCAGGCUCAGGCUGAGAUGGUUUGAAAUGUGUGAAUACAGUGUUGAUUUUGCCUAUUCCUGACUAACUACACACCCCCAAAACAAACAAAAAAGUCCAAGCAAAACAAAAUUCAAGCAAAAGAAAAAGCAUUGACAACAUCACACAAUAAAAGUCACUUCUAGAUCUAAAACCUGGGCACUGCCUCUGCAAUACAGAGUGGCAGGUAGGGAGAUGAGAAAAUGAAUAUUUUGCUCUUUCCUUGCUGUUGAAAUCUCUUACAUGGCAGUUACUUUUUGAUUUCUUCCUCCUAUUUCCAACCUUUUGAACCCAAGACCUUAUUGGCUCUUGUUUUUCUUUUUUCCCUCCUGUUUUGUCAGUGCCUCUUGGUUCUGCCCUAUUCUUUGCUUUGAGGUCUUUCCCUCUGUUCUGGGUACUCUGCUGGUAUUUCUUUCUCAGUACCCUUUCACCUCCUUCCUCCUCGUUCCCCACCCUUCCCACCAACAGUUUCCCCCACACGCUCCCUCUGUCAUGCACAUAUCACCGUUCCGUUUCUUACCCACAUUUUCCUAUUUGUUUUCUCUUCCCACAUACUUCUCUGUCUUAAUUCCUUCCUCCACUCCUAGCUGAAUGUCAGCUAUUGUAUCAUUAAGUAACAAAGAGAACAGAUUAAAAAACAAUCUGAGGGAUUUGUUUUUGGUAUUGGAUUUGUAGAAUCCUGUUAGUCUAUUUCCUUCUCAGGGAAAGAACGUAAAACAAUUCCAAAAUCUGUAAAAACUUUUUAAGGUUCUCACUUUAUUUGAAACUGGAUGUCAUCUAUAAUACAUAUAUGUCAUACAUAGUGUUUUAGAGCUACUGUAUUACAGGUUCUUGUUUAAAUUGAGAUCUCCAUGCUGUUUAUCCUAAACCAGAAUGGCAUCCUUCCAUGUGCUGCAGGCUUGGAAGAGGUAUGCAGCGGCUUGCAGAGGAUGCAGCCAUUCUUCUAAAGAGCUAAUGCCUGGACAUGCAAACAGAAAACCCCUUCUCUUCAAAUUUAUGUAGGACCUAUUAACACAGGUCUUACAUGACGUAUCACCUCUUAAUGUUUUCUGUCAUAACCUGCUCUUUUGAUCUUCAGCGAUCAUCAACAGUAAAAUGGUAAAUCCUGUAGGAAAAUGAAGGCUAUUUAAAAGAAGUCACAGUGCAGGUAGCUUUCUUUUUUUUCUGUGAUAGUGUGGAGGUGACAAUUGACUCUGAAAAUGCAGACAGCUUCUGUAUGUUCAUAAUUUGUUUACUGCUAGUCCGACAUUCUCACUGUCCCUUUUUCCGUGUCUCUCACAGUGCUGUGUUGAGUUGUAAUGAUUCAGUGACCAGGCAGCUGGUUAAUGCAGCUCAUGUUGUCACCCUCACGGGGCUCAUUUGCCUACAGGCAUGUCAGAAGGAACAAGUAAUAUAAGGGCAUAUAUAACUGUAGUUGGCAGCAUACUGAAAAGAUGCUGAAGCUCACUUUAAAUGAAUAGCAUAGGACAUCAGGAGCUAAGUAGCUGAGAAAUAAGAUAAAUUUGCUUGAAUGGAGUGUUGUGUUUUUGCAGUUAGGCUGUGCCUGGUACUUGAUCUAAAUGAGGUAUAUGUGUAUGGUGUGCACUGUAGACAUCCCCUGUGUGCUAUUUGUUCCUAGCACUGUCUCGCACAUUUUCAGUAUCCAGCCCAGUUCACAUCACCUGCUCUUCUACACAGUUUAAGCCUGAUGAGAGGGAGUACAGAAGACAGAGGCAGACUCUCCUUGCUGGUCCUAAUGGCAUAGGGCAUUACAAUGGCCUUCUGCUCCCUGUGUUCAGGAAUUUGAAGGUUUGGUUUUUUUCCAAAAACCUUUCAGGAGGAGUACACAAGUCUGUAUAGUAAGUGGUAUGUUAGUUGGUGUUCUGGUCUUUAGCUUUGUGCCUGUACAAGCCUGAGCCUGUGUGUCCUACUUCAUAUUGGCAAAGCAAGAGCAAACUACGUGUCCUUUGUGCUGGUGCAAUCUGGGUUUGGUUUAGCUGUUGGGGAUCACAUUACAGAGCAAUGAGAGAUGUGGGCUUGUUCUGUCUCUCCAUUUUGAAUUAUGACUGUUGACUGAAUGUGGGUGUCCUUGGUUUUGCUAACUGUUUUUCCGAAUUCUGCUACUGGAAUAGACACUAUGCAUUUUCUGAGUGCUUCACACAAGCACGCAGCAGACUGUGUUGUAAGGGAAGUGUAGGAGACAGCCAUACCAAAAAAAGAGUCUUGCAAUCUCUUGUGAUGAUCUUGUGUGGUCAUCUGUUGAGAUAUUCCAAGGAGCUGUAUGGGUAAGUUGUUCCAAGGCCAAGUUUUCACUGAAGAGUGAAAGGAGUAGAGAGAAUCAUUAUUACUGAAUUUGGGCUGUAUUUUUGAGCUGCUUGAGAGUAUAUGCUGGAGAGUUUAAAGCUAUUGACUGGCAGAGAAGCAAUGCUAGCUUGCAACCUUGCUGCUACCUAAUAUAAUAUGAUUUCUAGGUUGGAUCAGUUCCAGCUGUCAGAUCCCAAUUUACUAACCAUGUUGGGAAGGACACGAGUGUUCUUUUAGAAGGUCAGUAUCAUUUAAGAUUAUUGAAAGAAAGGAAACCUGUUCCAUCUUUAUAAGGAAAACAUUGCUGUGGAGUUUUUAGUAGCCACAUGAUUAUAAUGAAUAACGACCGUACGGUACUUUGUGUAGUGUUUAUCUGUGCCUGAGAAAGAGAAAAUAAUGGAAGUCUUCUCUUUCUGCCUGUGAGUUCAAAAGAAGGAAAAUCAAAGCUGUUAAACCAGAGCUAUAUAUCAGCUAAUAUAUUUUAGGAGCUGUGGAAUGAUCAUAAUUACAAAAAAGUCCUCCAGAGAGAAAUUAUGACUCAUAGUUUAUGUUCUCUUUAGUGUUGCUAUGGAAAAAGAGGUUAGUGCCAAUGGUCAUACAGCAAUAUUAAUAUCUGAUCUGAAAGAAAAAUAAAUAACAAUCUCUAGCUUAACCCAAAGCAGAUUUAUUCCGUUACUGCAGCACGCUCCAUUAAAAGGGAUAACCAUGGAAGAAAAAAAAAAAAUUACAUUAUCAGUUCUCAACAUGCAGUUAGAGAGAGUUCCUUAUUUGAAUUGCUGUGCACUUCAGACUCCCACAAGUAAGUUGGCUGAGUGAGAGGAAGGGGGGAAAAAGAAUUUUGAUCAAAAGGAGGGCAGAAAAGAUCAGCCACCAGCAACAGCUGCAAGUGUGCUGAUUAAAAUUUCUUUAUGCAUGUAGUUAGACUCAGCCUGGCAUUGAUGCUGGUUCAAAUGCCGAUCCAGAAACAAAACCCUGGCAACGGGCAGUUUAAAGUGGUCAAAAGUAGCUAUCGGCCUUUUUCCAUUUUUUUGGGAGAGUGAGAGCUGUGUUUCAGAGAGUGGUGGAUGCUUAUGUGCUGAGUCAGCAGUCUUUGGGCUGCUCUGUCAGUUGUUUCCUCGCAGUUGUUGAGUUGUCCAGGCAAAACCCUAACCAGGACUGGGGCCAAACAGCUGCGUGCUUGCUUUGUUCGGGUGGUGAAUCUUUUUCUUUGCAUGCAGGAAAACUAUCUGACACCUUCCUCUUGACACCCAGAGUUAGCAUGUGUGUCUUUGGGUGCAUCACAGAAAAACUUUUCUACAUGUGUACUUGACAUUGUUUUCAGGAGUUGGAGCUACACUUGCUGUGUUGUAUGUGGUUACUGACAGCAAAGACCCUGCAGUCAGAACUUAGCUUGGAAUUUUGCUCACAAUGCACCCUGCAAAGCAGGCUAUAGCUUUCCUUUCUGCCACACUGUUACAUCUGCCAUGCUGAUGGCAGUAAAACUUUUUAUUCUGAUGUUGAGCUAGGCAGACUGGAUUGGGGAGAUACACAGAUCUCACGUCCUGCAUCUAUGCACACUGCUCUUACUGAUGUUCGCAAGAACAUGUGGCCCAAAAGCAUCAUAUUGCUUAGGGAGUCCUUUGAGACUGAAGGCUUUUCACUGACUUUCAGGGUUGGAUUGGUCCCUUGGUGAAUAGUUUGUCCUCUAACAAAUUGCCAUUAUUUCACUAUUUCUUCUGAGUUUACCUCUUUAUAAAGUGUGUGACAGUCAUCACGUAACUGGCACUACAGCCUUUAACAACAAUUAGUUUCCAUUUUGUAAAUUAGUUUCCAUCAGUGUAAAGGUCAUAACAGGUGUAUUUUGCCUUCUGAUCUUUUUUUUUUCACCUUUUUUCUGUCUCUUUAAUCAUCAAACAUGUUUCAGUCAGGCCUGUAUGCAGGCUUUCACUGCACUCUCUUAUUUGACAGUGAAAUGGUCCAGAAAGCCUGUAUCUGUGCCUUUUCACACUGGAGCCAGCUCAUGGAUUAGCACGUGGGGGUCAACAGGAUGCUCUUUGCCCUUUCCCCUAAAAGGGAACAAUGUCAGCUGGUUUUCUGGCAUUGAAAAUGGAAGUAUCAGCAGCUGCUCAGUGCUGCUAGUUUAAAUAUUUAUACCAUAAGGGCUCUAUCACACCCUCUUUCUUUGUGUAAAGCUCCUGCUGAUUUCAGUGGAGGUCAAACUCUGAAUCCAUGCAGCAGCUAUCAGGUCGGGUCUUCCAAGGAGUAAUGGGAUGAGCAGAGCUCACAGGCAGGCACUGAACCCAUUAUCGUGUCAAGAAGGAUAAAUAAACAGUUUUUAGAAAAAACAAUUGCGCAGACAAAUCUGUCAGCACAAGCAUGGAAUACCCAUACAUAUGCUUGACACCUGCCAGGCUGACAAGAUGCAGGCACAUACUUCAGAUACUUGAAAGAAUACAGUACUGCUGGUGCUGCAGUCUGUCUCCUCCCUGCAACGCUUAGUUUUGCAGGCUGAUGUUUUCAGUCAGGACUCAAGAAUAGAAGGAGAGGGGAAGAAACACCCUAGGGGACAUUUCAGGAUCCUGAGCUUGCUUUGUCCUCUGAUUUAUAGGAUAGCACAAAAGCAGAUGUUCACAUGUUCUAUGAAUGUGUUUUUCUCUUGCAAAGCAUGCUUUCUUGUAUUUGUUAGGAUCACAGGCCUAUUCGUCCUUGUAAACAUGUGAUUGUGAUGGAAAAAGUGUUUAAUUCUAGUCCUGAAACUCAUGCCUAUGUGAAAUGUAUCCAUGAAUUAAUUCUCACAAAUGCUCAGUAUCUGGAUUUCCAGUGAUUUUACUGGAUAGCAUUGUAAUGCUCUUAAAACACUGCACAUGGGAUUCAUUUCAGCAUGUCUAAAACUGGAUAAAGCAUGGCCAGGGGUAUUGUUUGAAUUAAAGCUUAGCAGGACAAACAAACCAGGCAUAUCUGAAAGUGAAAUGUAAACAUGAUGCUGGAGUUCCUGGUUAGUGCUUGGUGGCUGUGGGAAGUUGACAGCUGUUACAUAAAGGUUAAACGUGCGUUCUUUGGUCUGUCAGUAAAAUUAAGCCUCCUAAAGACUAUGUGGCUCUCCAGAAGACAGGAAUUUAUCUGUGUGCACAAACGGAAUAUACACUUAAAUAUAAAUAUGCUUUCAGGACUAUUUUAAGUAUUAGAAGUACGCUGCAGUGCAAUAAAAAAAUGCAGAUGGAGCUAGCAGAUUUGGGAAAGUGCCUGACUGCAUUCAGAUGUGCUACAGAUCUGACAGGCAUCUGGAAAGCAAAGCCUAAGAACUGGUGUUUGCGUUGCUAAAUAACAGCAGAGAAUCAGAAAGAAAAUAGUAUAGGUACAAAAGGGGUAUGAAGUCUAAGGUCUAACUGACUUCAGAAUUUCAUCUUUGCCGACUUCUCAGACUGCUUCUCACAAAGACUGACAUGACCAUUUUAUGUUAUGCUUUUAUUUGCCAUAUUUGUAGUUAGUUACAAGUAAAAAGGAUUGAAAUCCA